rnacentral:rRNA from 1 species
AACGCUAGCUACAGGCUUAACACAUGCAAGUCGAGGGGCAGCAUAAAAGUAGCAAUACUUUGGUGGCGACCGGCGCACGGGUGAGUAACGCGUAUGCAACCUACCUAUCAGAGGGGAAUAACCCGGCGAAAGUCGGACUAAUACCGCAUAAAACAGGGGCACCGCAUGGUGAUAUUUGUUAAAGAAAUUCGCUGAUAGAUGGGCAUGCGUUCCAUUAGGUAGUUGGUGAGGUAACGGCUCACCAAGCCGACGAUGGAUAGGGGAACUGAGAGGUUGGUCCCCCACAUUGGAACUGAGACACGGUCCAAACUCCUACGGGAGGCAGCAGUGAGGAAUAUUGGUCAAUGGGCGCGAGCCUGAACCAGCCAAGUAGCGUGAGGGAUGACGGCCCUAUGGGUUGUAAACCUCUUUUAUGCGGGAAUAAAAUGUUUGACGUGUCAUACAUUGUAGGUACCGCAAGAAUAAGGACCGGCUAAUUCCGCGCCAGCAGCCGCGGUAAUACGGAAGGUCCAGGCGUUAUCCGGAUUUAUUGGGUUUAAAGGGAGCGUAGGCCGCAAGUCAAGCGUGUUGUGAAAUGCAGGGGCUCAACCUCUGGAUUGCAGCGCGAACUGGCAUGCUUGAGUACGCACGAGGUAGGCGGAAUUUGUGGUGUAGCUGUGAAAUGCUUAGAUAUCACGAAGAACUCCGAUUG